GAUGAACGCUGGCGGCGUGCCUAAUACAUGCAAGUCGAGCGAACGGACGAGAAGCUUGCUUUUCUGAUGUUAGCGGCGGACGGGUGAGUAACACGUGGAUAACCUACCUAUAAGACUGGGAUAACUUCGGGAAACCGGAGCUAAUACCGGAUAAUAUUUUGAACCGCAUGGUUCAAAAGUGAAAGACGGUCUUGCUGUCACUUAUAGAUGGAUCCGCGCUGCAUUAGCUAGUUGGUAAGGUAACGGCUUACCAAGGCAACGAUGCAUAGCCGACCUGAGAGAGUGAUCGGCCACACUGGAGCUGAGACACGGUCCAGGCUCCUACGGGAGGCAGCAGUAGGGAAUGUUCCGCAGUGGGCGAAAGCCUGACGGAGCAACGCCGCGUGAGUGAUGAAAGUCUUCGGAUCGUAAAACUCUGUUAUUAGGGAAGAACAUAUGUGUAAGUAACUGUGCACAUCGUGACGGUACCUAAUCAGAAAGCCACGGCUAACUACGUG
rnacentral:rRNA from 1 species